GGGUUCCCAAGAUGCAAAAGGCCAGUAAAUUGGGCUGUGCAACCUCUGAAAAUUGUAAGGCAUAACGUCGCAUUUAAGAUUGUCCGAGCACUUCUUUAAAUAUUGUCCUAGAGGAAAAAGUUAAGACCUUUCCCAUGAAUAAGAAAUUAAAAUAACUAUUCCUACACACUUGUUCUUCCACCAGAAAUCAACUCACACCAUUACCACCAACUAUCAGAUUGUAAGGAAGAAGAGCAUUCUCUAAUGUCAGACCCUGAAUCAGUAUUGGCCUCUGCAAGAGUAAUAGUAAGUGGUUGCCACCCAGAAUGAUGGUGUAUAAUCCAUUUCUUUAUGUCUAUUACCAUGUUUAAGAUCUGAAGUACAUUACCCAAAGCAAAAUCUUUCAAGCACAUGCUCUUUAAAAUAGUAGCAGCUUCAUACCUGCACCGAGAAGAUAGAAUUGCAGAUCGCCCAGCAGGAGAUGCCAGAUAUUUCUGAAUUUCAUCCCACGUUGCUUUUCGAUAUGAAUUAGGAUUGCCACCUAUAGGGUUCACACAUUUCCAGAGUUUCUCAUUCUUACCAACAUACAACUGCACAGCUCCUAAGUUCUGCUUCACAAUCAUCUGCUGCUCAAUAGCACUCUCAAGAGCCUUCUUAAUGUCAGUAUUGCGAUGCUUGGGAUCUCCAUAUCGAAUGCAAUCAACUAUAUUAGCUUCAGUUGGCAUUAGCUUCUCACUUUUAAGGGUGUUCAAAGCAAGUAACAUAACUCCUAUAAGGCCUUGAACAUAUAUUGGAGGUUUGGGGCAUCCUAGACUCCCCCAUAUAAUAUUAGCAGAAGCAACAUCAGUAGCUGCUGUUUCUGUCGCUGAUGAAGAUGGUGGAUAUUCUGGGUAAACAGGGUACCUUUUUGGUGUCUCGUGGUAUCCUGAUGGCAUGUUCUGUGGCACAUAUCCAUUUUGUGAGUUACUUAAGUUAACAGACUUUGAAGCUUUUUUCUUUGGAUCAUGCUUUGGCUCUCCACCUCGUCUUUGAGGAGUUGGAGGGUUGUGAAAGCUGGUUGAGUAUGCAGAAAUGUUCAAAUUACCAAUAUCAGGCACAUUUGUAUUUGGCGAUGAGGUAAAGGUAGUCCCAUUUGGCCUAGCAGGCAUCAUAGGAGGAGCAUGGGUUUGAAUAUUAGGUGGGUACAAACUACCUGCUGUAAAAUCAAGUUGCAUAGCUGGAACAUUUGGCCUUAAUGGUUGCGGAUAUUGAUUUUGAUGGUUGCCAUGAACAUGAGUGAGCUCAUUCCGAGUAAAGUUAGGAUUUCCAUGAAAAAAAUCUGGAGGAGGUAUAUUUAGGGGACCUUUUGGGACAGUAGGACCAGGUUGGUAAGAGUUUGAAUUAUGCGGAUCUUCUUGGGUCCUGACAGGCAUAUUUGAUGUUUUUGAUCCAUUUGAUUGGUUCAAAUUUCUUCGGGUGGUUUUCCCUUUCUGUUUAGUUGUGUAAGGAGUUCUCUGAUUUCCCAUAGUGGAAUUUUCAGGAUACAUAUCCACUGGUUGCUUUAUGUGAAUGGCAU
rnacentral:misc_RNA from 1 species